rfam:Capsicum annuum cultivar Zunla-1 chromosome 10, whole genome shotgun sequence
UGAUGAUGAUGGGAAAUUUUUUAGCAUAGCCUUGAAUAUUUCCAAAGAUUGGUAAAGAAUUUCUCCAUUUUUCUACGUAAAACUCAGAAUCUCACUUCUCAAACG